AUGAGGACUGAGCCACAGCACUGGGCAAGGGCUUUUUUCCCAGUUGGUUCAAAUUGUGAAUCAGUUGACAACAACCUAUGUGAGUCAUUCAACCAUGCUAUAGUUGAUGCUAGGUUUUAUCCUAUUAUUUCUAUGAAUGAAAAAAUUAGGAAAAAGGUACUUGUGAGAAUUCAGGAACAAAGAGAGAAAGGUGCCAACUUUAAAGGAAAAAUAUGCCCUGCUGUUUUUAAGAAGCUCAAGAAAAGUAUUGCUAGAACAUAA
rnacentral:rRNA from 1 species